UUGGAGGGCAAGUCUGGUGCCAGCAGCCGCGGUAAUUUCAGCUCCAAUAGCGUAUAUUAAAGUUGUUGCAGUUAAAAAGCUCGUAGUUGAAUUUCGGGGUCAGUAGGUUGGUCGUGCCUAUGGUAUGUACUGGCUUUACUGAUUCCUCCUUCUUGAAGAACUGUAAUGUCAUUAAUUUGGUGUUGCAGGGAAACAGGACUGUUACUUUGAAAAAAUUAGAGUGUUUAAAGCAGGCUAACGCUUGAAUACAUUAGCAUGGAAUAAUGAAAUAGGACGUUCGAUCCUAUUUUGUUGGUUUCUAGGAUUGACGUAAUGAUUAAUAGGGAUAGUUGGGGGCAUUAGUAUUCAAUUGUCAGAGGUGAAAUUCUUGGAUUUAUUGAAGACUAACUACUGCGAAAGCAUUUGCCAAGGAUGUUUUCAUUAAUCAAGAACGAAAGUUAGGGGAUCGAAGACGAUCAGAUACCGUCGUAGUCUUAACCAUAAACUAUGCCGACUAGGGAUCGGAUGAUGUUAAUUUUUUAAUGACUCAUUCGGCGCCUUACGGGAAAC
rnacentral:rRNA from 1 species